GGCAGCAGUGGGGAAUAUUGGACAAUGGGCGAAAGCCUGAUCCAGCCAUGCCGCGUGUGUGAAGAAGGUCUUCGGAUUGUAAAGCACUUUAAGUUGGGAGGAAGGGCAGUUGCCUAAUACGUAACUGUUUUGACGUUACCGACAGAAUAAGCACCGGCUAACUCUGUGCCAGCAGCCGCGGUAAUACAGAGGGUGCAAGCGUUAAUCGGAAUUACUGGGCGUAAAGCGCGCGUAGGUGGUUUGUUAAGUUGGAUGUGAAAUCCCCGGGCUCAACCUGGGAACUGCAUUCAAAACUGACUGACUAGAGUAUGGUAGAGGGUGGURGAAUUUCCUGUGUAGCGGUGAAAUGCGUAGAUAUAGGCGANUAACACCAGUGGCGAAGG
rnacentral:rRNA from 1 species